GCCCAUGUGGCGGAACAGGUAGACGCAGCGGACUUAAAAUCCGCUGACCGUAAGGUCGUUCCGGUUCGAUUCCGGAUGUGGGCACCA
rnacentral:tRNA from 1 species